UUAUCAAAAUAGUUGUGCUACUAUUAUUAUUUUAUUUCAUACAGAAGCCUUAAUUUUCUCCUGAUCUCAACAUAACAAUAGUUGUUUUCCAUUAAUAUUAUCUUAAAUUUCCUUACAAAAACAGCUAUCCAUUGCUCACCAUUUCUCUGGACAUUCACAAAUCAUUUAUCUGUCAAACAUCAUUCUAUAACCAUGCAGACAUCCCUCGAGCUAGCUGGCAGUGAAAUUGACCAUGUCCCGGUUUCAUAGACAGGGCUUAGGCUAAGCCAGAAUUAGGCUUUAUUUCAGUUAGGGUAUUCAAGUAGCUUUUAUAAACAUACCCUAGAAAAAAAACAUUACUGGUGUGCAUCUUGAGACAAAACAAUAACACUGACAUAUUUUAAGACAUGUCAGUGCAAAUUACUUUCAGUUUAAACAGCUCAAACAUGCAUUUUAGUCUAGGACUAGCUUAAACCUUGUCUGUGAAACCGGGGGCAUAUGUUCAGAGUGACUAUAGUGUUGACGAUAGUAUCAUACUCCUUCUCAAAUGUCUAUUUCAGCUUGAGUCUCUGGUCAAAGAAAUAGCUUUUGUUUCUUCCAGAUCAAGAAAAACAAGAAAAAACAACUUUUAAAUUGAGAGUGAGAAAACAAUUUUGUUAUGUAGAGAUCACAAAGAAAUUAAGUCGAGAUUUCAAGAAUACAAAUUUUGUUGUGUGGAAAUCAGAAGGAAAUUAAGUCAAGAUCUUGAGACAAUAACUUUUGUUGUGUGGAGAUCACAAGAAAAUUAAGUCAAGAUCUCAAGAACACAACUUUUGUUAUGUGGAGAUCACAAAAAAAUUUAGUAAACAUCUUGAGAAAACAUCUUUUGUUGUUUGUUGAAGUCGAUGUAUGUUUUUUCCUGUAAGCUUUUUGUUUUUCUAUGCAUUUUUUCAUUUUUUGCAUAGUAAAAUAAUACCUUUAGCUGUAGUUUGCCUUUUUUGCCAAAUAAUUUAGUCAGAUGCCAAGUUUAUUGUUUUGUUCUUCCCUCAUAUUUAAAAUAUUUAAAAAAUAUAAAUUAUUUUCCUUAUAUUUUGAUGGUUUAAUCAAACUUGUAGUGUCAUUAAAAACAAAUAUCCCCUCGGACAUCACUUUUGGCUACUACUGUAUAACAUAUAAUAUAUGGAAUGAAAGGCUUUGAUUCAUUUUUGUUGAAAUCAUCCCAUCCAGGAAAACAUUUUGACAGAUUUAAUUUUAAAUAGCUUUGGGGUGUCUGUAAGAUUCUGAGUUACGACAUCUUCCAGUGGGAAAAUACAUGGGAAAUUCAUCAUAUAUCAUUGACAUUUAAAGACAAGGCAUUUAGACAAAAUGCUAUUAAGUUAGAUAUUGCCAUGAAGUAUUUGUGAUGAAACCCACAGUACUUUGUCAAUGUAUAUGACAACAGCAUAAAACAAACACUAAAUCAGUGAAGAGAGACCAAACUGGAACUGUUGAAAAGAAUGUGCAGCUGAAGCCUGUUAACUGUUAGGCAAGAUAAAAACAAUUCAAAAGAUAAAACAGAAGAAAAAAUUCUUUCAUUGUGGCUUUGAUAGCCCAUGUGAUACUUCAGUUAUUCCGAACACACACCUGCUUCACAAUAGCCAUCUAUAUGUAUAUGAGUCAUGAGUACUUUUGUAAUUUGUGAGAACUUCAUAGGAAUGAAGUAUACAUAAUAUUUUCAAGGAUGCAUUUAGAGGGCUGAUGACACUUUAGAAUAAUAAAAAUAUUAAACUUAAAUUCUUUUAAAAGUCCUGUAUUUUCUUAAAUUUCAUUAUAUGAUACUUAUAGAAACCCUGAAUAUGAGUUACUCAGUAGUUAAAUUUGUCAGUGUUAUGGUAAUCAUUUAAAUGGCUCUACAUAUAUUAAUUGGCUUUGUCUUCAUAUUGAAAAUGUUUUGAACUGAACAGAAUUAUGAUAAAAAAAAUCCAUUAGGAUUAACGGAAAUUGCACCACACAUCACCCACCAUGAAUUCCUAAACUGGAAUGCAACUGCUGAGGUGAAGAUCAAAUAUGUGCUUGCAACACUAUUUGUCAGCUCUUCGCAGAACCUGUCUAAAAUCUUUAUAUUGGUGCAGAUGUGUGUCCUGGUGCCAGAACUCAUGUUGAGACAUUUUUCAGAAGUAACUAUUGCUAGCAGAUUGCCGUCAGCAUUUUAGAUAUAAUUACAGUCAUUCUUGUCUGUUACAGUAAGUAUGGGAUUGUAGGAAUUUGACAUACAUUCUUAGUUAAGAGAAGACUUAACUGGAGGUUUGUAGUCAGAAGGUAUGCUAGUGACAGAUAAUAGAGAAAUAUUUCAUAAUAAGAUAUGCUUUCUAGCAAAAAGAUAAAAGUGGCAGUCUUAGCCAUAGACAGCGUAGCAUAUACCUCUGCCAUACAGUAUGGUGACAGCGAUUCAGCUGAUCCAAGUCGUGGCUCAUGAUCCUUACCCGAUCCCAUUCCCCUCUCUCCUCUCCAAUUGUUUCCUGUCUUUCUGGGAUUGUCCUAUCCAAAUAAUGGAAAAAAAAGUCCAAAAGAAUAACUCACUCACUAAAUGAAAAAAUGCUUGUCAUUAAAAUAAUUUAAUGUCUAAUUAAUUUAAGUUUAUUAUGCUUCUAUUAUUUAUUUUAUAAUGUAUAACAUAACAUUUUAUGUUACAAAAGAUUUAUAUUUCAAAUAAAUGCUUUUGGUUAAAAUUUCUAUUCAGAGAAUCCUAAAAAUGUGUCACCAUUUCCACCUAAAUAUUAAGCAGCACAACUGUUUUCAACAUUAAUAAUAAUGUUUGUUGAGCACCAAAUCAGCAUAUUAGAAUGAUUUCUAAAGGAUCAUGUGACACUGAAGACUGGAGUAAUGAUUGCUGAUAAUUCACCUGUUACAAAACCCUGGUGUAUAAAGCACACGACGAGGAGAUAUAAUCAGAAUAAGUCUUUUACUAGGAAAUCCAAAUGGAGAGAUCAGGAACAUACAGGAACACACCAAAGUAUACAUGAACGAUACCGGACCACACAAGACUGGAAACACAGGGCUUAUAUACAUGGAAUAACAAGGUGGGUGAUUAGACACAGCUGGAUGUGAUCAGUUACCAAGGUGAAUGACUAGUGGCGGGAAAUAGAACAACAACAAGUCCAAAA